AUAGGAAUGAGCCCAUGGAGCCUCUUAACAGUUAUAUCUCCUUUAGGUGGACCUGGUGCCUCCUGAGCAUAUAUAUUGACCUUUCUCUGUGACACCAACAGAUGGGCAAAUAGGGGAAUAAAACCUGCUGGCUUCAGUCAUUUAAAGUGCUGACAAAGUCCCUUGUAAGGAAGCUUUGUGGCUAUAGGGGUGAGAAGUUGCUCAGAGACAGAUGUCCACCUAGCAAAAUAAAUAGGCACUCAAUGGCCCAGCAGAAGAUGGGGCUCAAGGAGUGCACCGGUUCUGUGUAGGGCACUGCUUGGGGAGAACUGCCUGGGAAAAAGAAGGAAAUAUUUGUGAGAUGGAGUUUCACUACUAAACCUUCUCAGGAGCUCCAGGAGAUUCCUCUGUUGCCACAUGUCCUUCUGAACCAUGUGUUUUAACCAGAGGAGCCAUAAAUGAACCACACAGUGGCCCUAGGCUUUAUAAUCAAACCCAAAUGCUAUGAGCCAUUUCUGGUAACUGGGUUCCAGGAACUUGAGCAGCCUGAGACCACAGAAAAUACUUGGUAAACAGGAGGCGAAGACGAGGCCCUGGGAGAUGCAACCAUCCUGACUAAGAUCCAAGAUCUCCAUCUCCAAGAUGCUCUGAGAGGCCCCGUAGGUCCUGCCGCCAGCUGCCGUGCGGAGAUAGGAAAGAAAACCCUGGUGACAGUCCUCUGAAGGCUUUAUGUUACAGACAAACACAGAAAUGCCACCGAGUUUUAUCGUUCAGGUUCCUGUGCAACACCCUCGGCAGCAAUUCUGGAAGAAAAAGCAGUGUUGAAAUAGUAAAUGAAAACGUGGGAAACUUGCCUUUUUUGAUGUGUAUGGGAAAUUGGUGAAGUCAGUAUUGAAUGGCCAGCUGUUCUUCAACCAGGAACUGUUCUUGCUCCAACCCUGGGCCAUCUU
rnacentral:lncRNA from 1 species